rnacentral:rRNA from 1 species
GAUGAACGCUGGCGGCGUGCCUAAUACAUGCAAGUCGAGCGAAUGGAUUAAGAGCUUGCUCUUAUGAAGUUAGCGGCGGACGGGUGAGUAACACGUGGGUAACCUGCCCAUAAGACUGGGAUAACUACGGGAAACCGGGGCUAAUACCGGAUAACAUUUUGAACCGCAUGGUUCGAAAUUGAAAGGCGGCUUCGGCUGUCACUUAUGGAUGGACACGCGUCGCAUUAGCUAGUGGGUGAGGUAACGGCUCACCAAGGCAACGAUGCGUAGCCGACCUGAGAGGGUGAGCGGCCACACUGGGACUGAGACACGGCCCAGACUCCUACGGGAGGCAGCAGUAGGGAAACUUCCGCAAUGGACGAAAGUCUGACGGAGCAACGCCGCGUGAGUGAUGAAGGCUUUCGGGUCGUAAAACUCUGUUGUUAGGGAAGAACAAGUGCUAGUUGAAUAAGCUGGCACCUUGACGGUACCUAACCAGAAAGCCACGGCUAACUACGUGCCAGCCGCCGCCGUAA